UGGAAAUGAUUUUUUAUUUCCCCUUUUCUUUUACCGCCUUAUUUAAAAAGUUGAGAGCAGCAGAGACGAAAGCCAAAAGCAGAGAAGUUGUAGAGCUCGAUUGGUAGCUUUAAUGGGGAAUCCUCUAAGAAUCCGUAAGAGAAUCCAUGCCCUUCGAAGAGCCCCAGAUGGAAGCGCCUUCCAAAAAUGCGAUUUCUGUGGCAUUACGGUGGCAAUUGUUCUUUUUGACAUGCAUGAAUGUGAAGCGAAACAUAGAAAGAAGAGAUUCAAAGGCGCUGAUUCGAAUCCAUGGGUCGAAAGUUUGAGCUUUAGUGAUCAACCCAGAUCUCCUUUCUGCAUUUUCAUGGAAAGCUUUAAGAAGAUCUACAAGAAUGAGGAUCAGAUUGAGAUUGAUCAAAGGGGAUUUCAAAAGUGGAAAAAUAUGCCGGAAGUGGAGAGGCAUCCUUUUGUUGUUGAAGCAAAAAAGGUGAAUUCAGCUUACUAUGCAAUCAUGCUCAAAGAGAUAAAUGAUACUUCAGAGGAGGAUGAUGAGGCAGAUUCGGUGAUGGUGGGGAACUUCGAUUGGAUACAAGAAUGGGACAAAUGUGAGAAAUAAGGGCAUUCAUCAGAAAAACUCCACUGAAAAUGUCCUGGCCCAAAAAAUAGGCCAGUUAAAUAAUCUGGUGGGUGACUUGUGUAUGUUGAAUGUCAAGCAUUGAUCAUUUAAUUUUAUCUGUCUAUUACUUUUAGAUGUGGACAGCUUGAUGACUGGAUCAACCUCUUUUUUGGGCCAGGACCUGCCACAUGAAUGGCUUGGAUCUUGUGCAUAUUUGCCAUGCUCACUUGUGCUGCAAAAAUCCUCACUGGAGCAAACUUUAGUUGGCUGGUUGUGGACCAUAUCUCUCUCUCUCUCUCUCUCUCUCUCUCUCUCUCUCUCUCUCUCAUCUGGUUGUCUGUCGGUUGCAGGAUUAUGAAGCUUACAUGAAUCAAGGAUACCAUAAGACAUUUGAGAGUUUCAACACCUACGAACUGGACCUGCUGUGCUCAUGGAUUUGAUGAACUUCCUUGGUGAUCGGACAACGGAAACUGUUCUAUCAAAGAGUUUUGGGUCAUGGG